GAUGAACGCUGGCGGCGUGCCUAAUACAUGCAAGUCGAGCGAACAGACGAGGAGCUUGCUCCUCUGACGUUAGCGGCGGACGGGUGAGUAACACGUGUAUAACCUACCUAUAAGACUGGGAUAACUUCGGGAAACCGGAGCUAAUACCGGAUAAUAUAUUGAACCGCAUGGUUCAAUAGUGAAAUACGGUGUUGCUGUCACUUAUAGAUGGAUCCGCGCCGCAUUAGCUAGUUGGUAAGGUAACGGCUUACUACGGCAACGAUGCGUGGCCGACCUGAGAGGGGGAUAGGCCACACGGGAACUGAGACACGGACAAGACGACUACGGGAGGCAGCAGUAGGGAAUGUUCCGCAAUGGGCGAAAGCCUGACGGAGCAACGCCGCGUGAGUGAUGAAGGUCUUCGGAUCGUAAAACUCUGUUAUUAGGGAAGAACAAAUGUGGAAGUAACUAUGCACGGCUUGACGGUACCGAAUCAGAAAGCCACGGCUAACUACGUG
rnacentral:rRNA from 1 species